UAAACAUCUCUUCUUCCCACAUCCCAUUGGUCAGAAGCUAGUGGCACAUAAUCAAAAGGGAUUCCAGGAAAUGUGGUCUAACUGCAUGUAAAGCAGGAAAAGGAAACCGUGUUUGGUGAACAUGCAGCAUGGUCCAUGUUGCAGGUUCCCAAGACAACCUGAAAGGGAAAAAGAACCCUGUGAGGGAGUUCCAGGAAAAAAGCUUCUCCCUAAAAGACCCCCGCUUCAAGCAAACCUGAGGAAGGAAGUGGGCCAACACUAUCUAGCCACUGUAACCAGCUGAAUAAGGAACUCAAUAAAAAUCAGCCACAGCAGGACCAAGUAAGCCAGAAGACCUACCUCCACCAUCUCCAGCAUUUCCCUGCGCAGCCUGUAAUUUCAGGGCAAGGCAAGAGACCUCAAAUCUAUCUGAGAAGUCCCCAAAGGUCUGACCCGCCCCCCACACCCCCCGCCGGAGAAAUAGCCAACAAGGUCUAGA
rnacentral:lncRNA from 10 species